AUGGGGGGAUAAUUUUUAUUGGGCAGGGUUGAGGUGGUCCCGUGCACUGCAAGGUGUGGAGAAGCAUCCCUGGCCUCUCCUUUCUUAGAUAUCAGUAGCAUCUACCUGCCAGUUUGUGACAAUCAAAGAUGUCUAUACGCUCUUUUUUGGUUGAGAACCACCGCUGUAGCUCACAACAAGGGUGCAGGGUAGGAGGGAAACUCAAGGUAGAAGCUCUUCAUCUUGCAGAGCCAGAAGUAAAACCUCCAGAUGGAAGGGCUGACCUCCAGAAAGAAGGCAGAACCCAGGACCAGGAAAGCCACCAAGAAGAUUUUGUGGUUUGAUGAAAGGACCAUGGACUUCAGCACUGGAUGGGCAAGACUCAAAUCUAAAUAUGUCACUUAUUGCUCUGCAGUGGGGUGGGAGGGUGGCAAAUUGCUUCACCUCGCAGAGUUCCGGUUUCCCAGGCUCUCAAAAGGAUAUAAAAAUAUCUACCACACAGGGUUGUUGUGGGCACCAGCUGAUGCCUCAGUGUUCUCUCAGAUGAUUGGUUGUCAUUUCUCCUCCUCCCUCGUUUCUAAGACCAGCAAAGCCAAGUUCUGCAGCGGGGCUGUGUGACUGCUCUCCAUCUUCCUGCGUACAUUUCACUCAGAUGAAGUCCUUUCUCGCCCUCUAAACAGCUGGCCGAGGAUGAGUCACCACCACAGGAGAGCCAUAUCCUAGAGAAUGAAAGGGGAGGGGCAUUGCAGGCAGUAAAAAAGCCAUUUUGUAGAAGGGCACGGAGAUAUAACAGAGUAUGGAAUAUGUGGAAUGGUAAAUUGUCUGGAGCUCUAAAGCAUGCAGAAUGUCUUAAUCCCAAAAACUGAGGCUGAAAGAUUACAUGGUAAUCGGAGUUUGAAAGUUCUCACUGUUGUCUGGAGAACUCCUACUCAUUUUCCAAGAUCCAUCCCAAAGAAGGAAAAAUAGAGCUAGUUAUAGGUGGAUGCAAAGCAUUCAGAGUGGGGUAAUUCCAGGAGCUGGGGCCAACAGGGUGUUUGGGGACCAGCUUUCCAAAGGCCAAGCCCUUGCUCUGUUUCCCUGAACAUUCCUGUCCCAUUGUCAUCCAUCGCAAACGUCAUCUUCUUUGUGAUAGCUAUUCCAGCUCCCCCAGAUGAGGAAACAGAGGCAUAUAGAGAUUGAAGAGCUUAUGUGAGCUCACCAGGCUGGUCAGUGACAGAGUUGGGAUUCCAAUCUGUGUCUCUCUGAUCCUAAACCAGCUACCCUGAGACAGAUGGGAAGAAAGGGGAAAUGGGAAGACCUUCAAAACCCCUACUGCCCAGUUCUCUUCAGAGCAGAAUAAAGACUAGCAUAGAGAAGAAGGCUGCCACACAGAUAAAGCAACCGAGACUCAGAGCGGUGAGGUGACUUUCCCAGGGCCUCAGAACCAGUGAACAGCAGGGCCAGGAUCAAAACCCAGCCCUGCCUGAUCCUGAAGCCCGAGAUUCCUGCCACUGCCCCACUUAAGAGAAGGAGUCUCAGAGAAAGAACACAGAUGGAGGCUGCUCUCUUCUGCCCCCUGUAACCACAGCACAGCUUGUCCCAGGGGGUGGGGGACAAGAGUUCCUUUUCCCAAAGCACAGCAGGCACAACCCUACGAUAUUAGGAGGUGGGCAGAAGUCCAGUCUAGAGGCCCCCGCUCAGUGGGAGCCUCUGACACCUACUCACCAUUGCCAGAGGUAGAAUAUUCCAGACAUCUCCAACUCUGAGCCCAGGGGCCCCUGAUUCGGCCAGGCCUUGCUUUCCACUGUUCCUGUCCACUCUCUCCAGCCACGUUUGUCUCCCCAAUACUCACCUCUGUAAGCACCCUGUUUAUAGCUGCAUUCCUUUGAUCGCCGCAUCCUUUUUCCUCCUAUACUUUUAUUUACUUAAUAUUUUUCGUUAAAGUGACUAACUCUUAUAAUCUGACCUCUUCCUGAAAAAUAGCCACAAAAUUGCAGCCAUAGUAUGCUCAACAUUCAUGUUGAAAUCCAUAGAAAUAAACAUGCAACUAUUAGAAUAAAAUUUGUUUAUUCUUGUACCAAUUAAAAGUAUCUAAAGUUGCACCGGAAAUAAGAGUAUCAAAUUCCAGAAAACUCUGGCCUACAGAAACUGAACUAAUCUCCACAAUGACUUUUGCACGGCAGUGUUAUCCUUACCCUCAAUUUGACAAAGAGGAAAUUGAGCAUCAGGGCGGCUUGCCACCCAAGGUCACAUAGCCAGUGAGUCGAGGAACCCAGGUUGCCUGAUUACUGGUGCCCCACUUUCCCUACUGACCUGAAAAAUACAGUUACCUCUGCUUCUCCCUCACCAACUCUUCCCUGAGUCUCUGGCAGUGGCUUCUGGGCCACUCUGCCAAGGCUACCAUCCAAAGAGCUGUCCAGUAGCCUUCCCUUUGUUGAAGCUCCUGUUUUCUUUUUAUUUUUUUCCAACUAUCAUUGCAUUUAUUUUUUUAAAAUUUUUUCUUGUUUUUUUAAAUUAUACUUUAAGCUCUAGGGCACAUGUGCACGACGUGCAGGUUUCUUACAUAUGUAUACAUGUGCCAUGUUGGUGUGCUGCACCCAUGAACUCGUCAUUUACAUUAGGUAUAUCUCCUAAAGCUAUCCCUCCCCCUCCCCCCACCCCACGACAGGCCCCGGUGUGUGAUGUUCCCCUUCCUGUGUCCAAGUGUUCUCAUUGUUCAAUUCCCACCUAUAAGUGAGAACAUGUGGUGUUUGGUUUUUUGUCCUUGCGAUAGUUUGCUGAGAAUUAUGGAUUCCAGCUUCAUCCGUGUCCCUACAUUCUUGCAACCUUUGGCACUGUCAUAUUCAGUCUGUGAACCCUCCCCCUGCAGCCUUUGAGGCAACUGGGAAAGAGCAAUCAAGAUUCUGCAAGGGAGGAAGCCAUGCAAUGCCUCCAAGUUGUCUAAAACGGGCACAUUCUAACUCUCCCUCCCCAAAUGACAGCUUGAAGAGAGGUCUUCCCUGAGUCUAAGCUCCUUCAUGCUACAAAGGCCAGCAAAGACACGCGAGAUUUCUGCAGCCAAGAUCAAUGUUACAGAUCGUUGAUUUCAUGAAACAGAAAUCCACACUGAACCACUUAAGCAAAUAAGAAAUUCAUUGGGAAGAUGGGGGAAAGCUUUCAAAUUAAAGGAAAACUGAAACAAACAUACAAACCAGAUCUCAGAAAGAGUAAGAAACCAAAAAUCCAGGUAGCGGUAGCAAAAGGGCAUCUGCCAGGGCCCUGAGGGUGAAUUGUGUUCACACAGUCACUAUUUCUGUGUGACUCCCUUUAUUUAAACUCCAGAGCAAUCUCGGGUUCUGAGUUCACCUCUUAGCUGGGCAUUGGACAGGAUACCUCGAUUGACAGCCCCACCAAUCCCGUUCAUGGCAGAGAAGGGGGUGCUCAUACCAGGAGCAUCAGGGCUGUCUUAUCAUAAUGAGGAGGGAUGGGUACUGACAUCCAAGAUCACCACCACAUCACCUUUAGAAGACGCCAAGGGGUCCAUUAUUUUCACAGUCAAGGUAAUUCGAGGUCCUUAUCAGAGCUGUGAAAUGAUGUAGGUUUCAGUGUGGAUGUUCUCAGAUAACCAGCUAGACUAAAGGAGGGUGAGAAGACGUUCUCCUGAGGAGGUCUUGGCCUACAAGUGGUUCUGCCUCCAGAUAACUGUCAAGUCCCUUGGUGGUGACCAGAGGUCUAGGGAGAAUUCUGCAGGUUCCUACUCACUCAUUCUCGAAGCCUCUGUGAUGCCUGCUUCCAAAGAUGGGCACACAAUCUUUCCCAUCCCAUGUGCCCUUUUGCAAAUGUGGCUUUGCUACUCCUCCCACUAAGAGAUGAAAUCUAUUCUCCCCACCUUCUUGAAUCUGGACCAGCUCUAAGAGUUGCUUUGACAAAUAAAAUAUAGUGGAUGCAAUGCUGUGUGACUUACCCAUUGAAGUCUUAAGUGGUCUUUUAGCUUUUGGUUUUGCAUUUGGUACCUGAAACUUAGGAAAUCUACCUGUUAUGGACUGAAUUAUUACUGCCUGCCCACCCCCCACCACCCCCCAAAAUUCAUAUGUUGAAGACCUAAUUCCCAAUGUGACGUUAUUUGGAGAUAGAAUGCAGAUGGAGACCGCCGUCUUCUGCCCCCCGUAACCACAGCACAACUUGUCCCGGGGGGUGGGGGACAAGAGUUAAAGUUAAAUGAGGUCAUAAGGGUGGGGCCCUAAUCCAAUAGUACUGGUGUGUUUACAAAGAGAGGAAGAGACACCAGGAGUAUGUGUUCGCAGUGGAAGGGCCAUGUGAGGACACAGUGAGAAGGUGGCCAUCUGAAAGCUAGAAAGAGAGGCUUCAUCAGAAAUGAAUUCUGCCAGCACCUGGAUCUUGGACUUCCGGUCCUGCGAGUGGUAAGAAAAUAAAUUUGUGUUUUAAGCCACCCAGAUUUUGUGAUACCCUGUUAUGGUAGCCCAAGCAGGCUAAUGCACCUCCAAUUUUUAAUGGGUGGAAUCUCUCAAGGAUUAAUCCUGGCCCCUUUCUUCAUCCCACACUUUAGUACUGGUAUAUCUACCCCAGGACUUAGAUGUCACCUAUAUGUUGGCAACUGUAAAAUAUAGCUUAAACAUGGCCACUUCUCUCCAGCCCUGUUGCCAUCACCUUAAUUCAAGCCAAUCUUAUCUCUUGCCUAGUAUAUCAGUCAGCUAAUGCUAUGAUAAUGUUGCAUAACAAAUACCUCCCCCCCACAACACACAAAUCCCAUUGACCUGCCACAACAAACAUUUAUUAUUCUUGCCAAUAGGUUUGUGGGUCAUUUCGGAAAGUUCUCUGGGCUACAGGUCAGAUUCUGAUCUUCUCUGUAGGUCUCCUCAUUCUCUGUGAACCAGCAGCUACCCAAGGCAUGUCUUUCUCAUGGCAGGUGGCAGAUGCAUAAAAGAGCGAGCCAAACCAUGCAAAUGCUUUUAAAGUCUCUUCUGUGUUCCAUCCACUAACAUUCUAACAUUUAACUAAUGUUAAAGCAAGUCACAUAGCUAAGCCUAAAGACUAGGGGGCAGAAAAAUAUAUUCCUCCCAUGGAAAGGAAGCCAUGACAAGAGGCAGGAAAGGAGGAAGAAACAAAGACAAAUAAUACAGUCUACCACACCUGGGCUGCUAUAAUAGCCUCUAUUAUGGGCAUCCCUCCCCAAACCACCAGAAGAGCCACCUUUUAAGAUAAAAAUUGGAUCAAGUUGCUUUUCUGCUUAAAACCUCUUGGUGGCUUCCCAUUGCUCAUGGAAAAAAUUCCAAAUUCUUACUGCUGCCUGCAAGGUUCUGCAUGGCCUGGCCCCUGCCUCCUGCUUACACCGUUCACCCACUAUUCACUCUACCCCAGCCACACUGGUCCUCUUUUAAUUCCUUGAACUCACCCACCUUAGGAAAGGUACUCUCCCUAGAAGUCCAUCUCCAUCUUUCCUCUCUGAUAUGGUUUGGCUGUGUCCCCACCCAAAUGUUAUCUCGAAUUGUAGCUCCCAUAAUCCCCAUGUGUUGUGGGAGGACCCCGUGGGAAGUAAUUGAAUCAUGGAGGCAGCUUUUUCCUGGGCUGUUCCCAUGAUAGUGAACAAGUCUCACAAGAUCUGGUGGUUUCAUAAAGGGCAGUUCCCCUGCACACUCUCUCUUGCCUGCCACCAUGUAAGAUGUGCCUUUGCUCUUCCUUCACCUUCCACCAUGAUUGUGAGGCCUCCCCAGCCAUGUGGAACUGUGAGCCCAUUAAAUCUGUUUUUCUUUGUAAAUUACGCAGUCUCAGGUAUGUCCUAAUAGCAGUGUGAGAACGAACUAAUACACUCUCCCUUCCUGGAAAACUUCUAGUGCUUCAAGUCUCUAUUGAGUUGUCAUUUCUUCGGGGAGGACUUGCUUGCCCCUUUCCCACCCUGAUACCUUGUAUCUUCCUCUUAUACAUUCUCCUCACUUCCUGUUAGGGUUUUAAUUGUGUCCCCCCAAAUUCAUAUGUUGAAAUCCUAACCCUCAGUACCUCAGAAUAUGACUAUAUUUGGAGAGAGGUUCUUAAAGAGAUGAUUAAGUUAAAAUAAGGUCAUUAGGGUAAGCCCUAAUCCAAUAUGGCUGGUGUCUGUAAAAGAAGAGGAGAUUGGGACACAUACACACACAGAGGGAAGACCAUGUGAAGAUAAAAGGAGGAGGGAGCCAUGUGCAAGCCAAGGAGAGAGGCCUCAGAAGAAACCAAUCCUGCUGACACCUUGAUCUUGGACUUCCAGCCUCCAGAAUUGUGAGAAAAUAAAUUUAUUUUGUUUCAGCUACCGCAUCUAUGGUAUUCCAUUAUGGCAGCCCAAGUAAACUUUUAUACUUCUGAUACACUUCUUGACUGCAUGAAUCACAAAGGUAAUCACAUGUUUAUGAUGUAAUUUCUUUUACAUGCCUGUCUCUCCCACUAGAUGGUGCAACCACACAGAGACGUCAUCUGAUUUACCUAGCGUGGUGCUUGGCACAUAGUAGGUGCUCAAAAAAUUACUUGAAUGAAUGAAUGAAUAAAUGUGCUUCAUCUUAGUUGACAAAGCAACGGGAGAGGCUGGAGAUGGACUUGGUACGGAUCCACCCUGCAACUUCCCUUGAGGCAUCCACCCUUUCCUCGUUCCUCACAACCCUUCCAAAGCAAAGCUGUUCAACUGUGAGAUUUGCAAUUUGAUUUACUCCUGAGUGACAUCAUAGCCAUUACCAUGGCAACACCCAGCGAUGCCUGUCUGCCAGACAAAGUCUCUCCCAUCAGCAAAGGGCAGAUGGACACCCAGGAUGGAAAGGAGCCAUUUGUGAGGCACAAGCAUCAGCCUUUGCUGCCCUGCAGCCAGGGGCUGAUGGAGCUGGUGCUGGUAUAUCAGGGGUGGGUGCCCCUGCGGGGUGGAAGCCUCAAAAUCCUUCCUUGCCACGGAAGAACUCUUUAUCUCUAAGACAGGCCAGCUGCAGCCAAAAGCAAAAUUACGCCAGUGGGGGCCAAGUAUAACACAGGCAACUCUGGCUGGCUUAUCUGUGUAAUCCUCCCUUCGGCCCUCAAAACACUUGAGCAGUAGACAAAGCCAUUGUUUUCCUGUCUGACUAUCUCUCUCUUUCCCUUCCUGAUUUCUUACUUUCCCUCCUGCUGCCUUUCUGUCCUCUCUUUCUCUUACCCUACCUCACUACCAUCUUCUCUCUGUUUUUGUCAACAGUUGUCACAAACCUGAAGUGUGUCAGACCCUGUCUUGGACAGACGUGGAGUAUUAACUGGUGUCUAGGAUGGGUCUCUCUCUUAUGGAAAAAGGAGUAAAGCCCCACCCUUUCCUUUUGGGAGGAGGUCUUAGGUUGCAGCUUGUGGGUGAGGGGCAUUGAAGAGGAAAGAAAUGUUGCUGGUAUGAUGAGUAAAACCUCAGAACACAUUUCUUAUAGCAACAGAAUUAUAAACAAGAGUUGGUUGUAGUUAAAAUACUACUGGUAUCUCUCCAAGUAGUUAGGGAUCAAAUAAGAUUUUAUGGAUCAGUCUGGAAAUCCAACCAGCAUCUUAGGUGAAAGGAUCCUGAUUCUAAACUUUUAGACACUAUCUCACAUGCACUGAGAGCUGUAUCUAGUGUUCUCCCAUUUCCUCUCUCUGUGCUUCUCAGGGCCACUUAGACUUCCUUCAUCCCCAGAAUCAAAGGGACCAGAAACUUAGAAGAUGUCACAAUUUUAUCUGCUACUGACCCUGCAGGCAGGGCUGCCUGGUGGUGAAACAAUAUGGUAUGUAACAGAGUCGAGACAGGUUUGUGUAGGAUGGAUGCAGGCUCCAACCCUGUGCUGCACUGCCUGGCUGCCCGAUCUCCCUCAACGAGCCUCAGUUUUUCACCUGUAAAGUGGGGAUAAUGCGUCCACAUCUCAGGAUCAUUGUGAAGAGUGAGGACAUCACAUAUAAAAAAACUGGCCCACAGAAAGCAUGGAGUAAAUGCCAGCUGUUACAGCAGCUUCUGUAGGAAGGCAGAGCCUGCCUUGCAGCCACUCCACUGGCAAACGUGUCAAUAGGAAGAGUGAGAAGUGAGCAGUGCCUCCUGAGCUGAUGCCUACAGAGGAGCUGUGACAAUCUGCCUCUAGAACAACCUCAGCAAGCUGCCUGGCCCAGGGGAAAUCCAACCGUGGUGACUUUGCCCAGAUUCUGCAAGAUGCUUUCUAAUUGUUGGUGUUCACGAGGGACAAGCAACAGCUGAGCUCAUUCCCUUCCUAUCAAUUUGCAACAUCUGCCCCAGCCCUUACUGACAGUAGAGAAAAAUAAGGACUUUCCGAUCACACCUUUAGGCCACCAAUCUUCAAUGAGUUACUGGGCCCUUCCAGAAAUCAGAUUUUCUAACUGGUCCCUGCAUUGGCUCCAGCAGCUUUGGAGUGGAAAUCCAAAAGCAUGGGAAGACCCUGGGCCGAG
rnacentral:lncRNA from 10 species